UUACCUAAAAUCCGCAGUCAGCAGAGAGAAGAGUUUGGGCCGGGCUGGCUCAGCAGAGGCGGGCAGGGGAGGGGGCAGCUCCACACCAACUCAGGGAAGGAGGUGCCAGGGCAGAUAGGGGAAAGGCCCAAGGAGGGAGAGAGAAGACUAACGUCACAGUGGGUCCUCGGCAGGCUCCCAGCUAGAAGCCCACGCCCUAUGCCCUGGACGGAGAUGUAACCAUGACAGCAGCCCCCUCGGAGCCCACCCAGGGCGGGUCCCAGUGCAGCCUGGCGUUGGAGCUCUGAUAUACGGGGGCUGGGCUGCAUGGCAAGUCUUGCUAAGUUGCUUAGGCUGGGCUGGAAUUUGUGACCCUCUUGAAUCAGACCGGCCUUGUAAACCUGGGCUAACACCACCACACAAUCUGCAACGCUAUGCGGCACAGACACCUGGAGCUGCCAUCUCCCCAUCUCCCUUCUACCCCUUGCCUAUCCACACCAUUCGUGGGACUCUACUUGUCUCCCAAGGUCUUUGGGUUGGACAAGAUGAAUGAUAAGAUAAAGAAGAUGUAUUUUCACUCGGCACUUGGAACAGCCAACAGUCUUUUGGCUUAUGGUCAGCUGGA